GUCGGAGCCCCCGACGUCAUGACGUCUCACCGAGACGCCUCGACGUUCACGACAGCUAGCCGAGAGCUAAUACAGACACCGAGCUCCAAAUUGCUUCUUACUGACUACACACAAUCAAUCAUGAGGAUUUAAAGGACACUUUUGAUAGAUACUGACCACUGCAGACCGGGAAUACCCCACAAGAGCUGCCGUUUUGGAGAUGCUCUGAUCCAGUCGUCUAGCCAUCAAAAUUUGGCCCUUUUGGUCAAACUUGCUCAAAUCCUUACGCUUGUCCAUUUUUCCUGCAUCUAACACAUCAACUUAUUCAAAUGUUCACUUGCUGCCUAAUAUAUCCCACCCAGGUGGCGCCAUAUUCACUCUGCUGAAUGUGAAGAAUUCCACUUGGUCUGACCAGCUGCCCAAAAACAGGCUGAACUGAUCAAACCUGUACACCAGCUUUGCAGCUAGUAAGUCCUGAUAGAACGAAAGUCAACAACUGCCAAAUUACUGCUACUUGUGCUAGACACAUUGUCUGUAAUAACACAACGAUAUGGCAAUUAGAAAAUUCAGACAAUUGUUUAGUUCAGUAAUCAGGAAUGUGGAUAAUAACUUGUUUGGCACAGAUGGUUUACCAGUUUGACCAGCUCAGCCUGUUUUGGCAGGUGGUCAGAUCAAGCUGGAUAUUUUAAGC